CCUACGGGUGGCAGCAGUGAGGAAUAUUGGUCAAUGGGCGCAACCCUGAACCAGCGAAGCCGCGUGAAGGAUGACUGCCCUACGGGUUGUAAACUUCUGUUAUAAAGGAAUAAAGUGACGCACGUGUGCCUGGUUGUUCGUACUUUAUGAAUAAGGAUAGGCUAACUCCGUGCCAGCAGCCGCGGGAAUACGGAGGAUCCGAGCGUUAUCCGGAUUUAUUGGGGUUAAAGGGGGCGGAGGUGGGUUGUUAAGGCAGUUGUGAAAGUCUGCGGCUUAAACGGAUAAUUGCAAUUAAUACUGGCAGUCUUGAGUACAGUUGAGGUAGGCGGAAUUCGUGGUGUAGCGGUGAAAUGCUUAGAUAUCACGAAGAACACCGAUUGCGAAGGCAGCUUACUAAGCUUUCACUGACGUUGAGGCUCGAAAGUGUGGGGAUCAAACAGGAUUAGAUACCCGUGUAGUC
rnacentral:rRNA from 1 species